ACUGUGUGUUGUUGGGUAGGGGAGCGUUCUGUAAGCCUGUGAAGGUGGCCUGUGAGGGUUGCUGGAGGUAUCAGAAGUGCGAAUGCUGACAUAAGUAACGAUAAAGCGGGUGAAAAGCCCGCUCGCCGGAAGACCAAGGGUUCCUGUCCAACGUUAAUCGGGGCAGGGUGAGUCGACCCCUAAGGCGAGGCCGAAAGGCGUAGUCGAUGGGAAACGGGUUAAUAUUCCCGUACUUGGUGUUACUGCGAAGGGGGGACGGAGAAGGCUAUGUUGGCCGGGCGACGGUUGUCCCGGUUUAAGCGUGUAGGUGUGUGUUCCAGGUAAAUCCGGUUCACUUUAACACUGAGGCGUGAUGACGAGGCACUACGGUGCUGAAGCAACAAAUGCCCUGCUUCCAGGAAAAGCCUCUAAGCAUCAGGUAACAUCAAAUCGUACCCCAAACCGACACAGGUGGUCAGGUAGAGAAUACCAAGGCGCUUGAGAGAACUCGGGUGAAGGAACUAGGCAAAAUGGUGCCGUAACUUCGGGAGAAGGCACGCUGACAUGUAGGUGAAGUGAUUUACUCAUGGAGCUGAAGUCAGUCGAAGAUACCAGCUGGCUGCAACUGUUUAUUAAAAACACAGCACUGUGCAAACACGAAAGUGGACGUAUACGGUGUGACGCCUGCCCGGUGCCGGAAGGUUAAUUGAUGGGGUCAGCGCAAGCGAAGCUCCUGAUCGAAGCCCCGGUAAACGGCGGCCGUAACUAUAACGGUCCUAAGGUAGCGAAAUUCCUUGUCGGGUAAGUUCCGACCUGCACGAAUGGCGUAAUGAUGGCCAGGCUGUCUCCACCCGAGACUCAGUGAAAUUGAACUCGCUGUGAAGAUGCAGUGUACCCGCGGCAAGACGGAAAGACCCCGUGAACCUUUACUAUAGCUUGACACUGAACAUUGAGCCUUGAUGUGUAG
rnacentral:rRNA from 1 species